UGGUCCUCGAAGUAGAUAUCGAUGUUUUAAAUGAUCCAAAACUUCUAUAUGGAAAUCAUUCUAAUUUUGUUCAUAGAUUAUUUCUUCUGUAUGCUCUACUUACUAUUAUACUUGUACUUCAUAAUGGCACCAUGCAUUGUUAUGUUAACAUGCAUCCUUUUGUUAAUGUAUGUAUAAUUAUUAUUUUCCUAUACAUUCUUAUGUUCCUACAUAUGUUAUAUGUUAGGAUAAUAUAUCUAUAUUGUCCUAGAAGUACAUAUGAAGGUUAUUUUGAUUGUAUGCACAUAUAUAUUGUUAUUUUGUACAUU
rnacentral:lncRNA from 1 species